GACGAACGCUGGCGGCGUGCUUAACACAUGCAAGUCGAACGCUGAAGCUCAGCUUUUGUUGGGUGGAUGAGUGGCGAACGGGUGAGUAACACGUGAGUAACCUGCCCCCUUCUUUGGGAUAACGCCCGGAAACGGGUGCUAAUACUGGAUAUUCACUGAUCUUCGCAUGGGGGUUGGUGGAAAGGGUUUUUUCUGGUGGGGGAUGGGCUCGCGGCCUAUCAGCUUGUUGGUGGGGUGAUGGCCUACCAAGGCUUUGACGGGUAGCCGGCCUGAGAGGGUGACCGGUCACAUUGGGACUGAGAUACGGCCCAGACUCCUACGGGAGGCAGCAGUGGGGAAUAUUGCACAAUGGGCGAAAGCCUGAUGCAGCGACGCCGCGUGAGGGAUGGAGGCCUUCGGGUUGUAAACCUCUUUCGCUCAUGGUCAAGCCGCAGCUUUGGGUUGUGGUGAGGGUAGUGGGUAAAGAAGCGCCGGCUAACUACGUGCCAGCAGCUGCGUUAAUACGUAGGGUGCGAGCGUUGUCCGGAAGUAUUGGGCGUAAAGGGCUUGUAGGCGUGUGGUCUCGUCUGCCCGUGAAUCCUCUGGUGUAACUGGGUGCGUGCGGUGGUACGGGCGACUUUAGUGCGGGUGGGGAUCUGGUACUCUGUGUGUAUCGGGUAAUGCCAGAUAUUAUGAAUAACUCUGGUGGUGAAGGGGUGUCUUUUGGGCUUUUGGUGUGUGAUGGAUGUAAGUGUGGGAGCGAAUGUUAUAUGAUCUGGUGGGUGUUGGGGAGUUGUUUUGGUUGUUGUCUGUUGAUGUCGUGAACAUGAUGUAGUGAUGAAAUUUUUUGUACUGUGUGUGUUAUGUAUCUGUGUGUGUGAUGUUGUGUCGAUGU
rnacentral:rRNA from 1 species